UACAGAGGUCUCAAGCGUUGUUCGGAUUCAUUGGGCGUAAAGGGUGUCGUAGGUGGCGCCGUAAGUCGGGUGUGAAAUUCGAGGCUUAACUCCGAAACUGCAUUCGAUACUGCGGUGCUUGAGGACUGGAGAGGAGACUGGAAUUCAUGGUGUAGCUAGUGAAAUGCGUAGAGAUCAUGAGGAAGACCAGUGGCGAAGGCGGGGUCUCUGGACAGUUCCUGACACUGAGCACAGAAGGCCAGGGGAGCAAACGGGAUUAG
rnacentral:rRNA from 1 species